rnacentral:rRNA from 1 species
AUGAACGCUGGCGGCGUGCUUAACACAUGCAAGUCGAACGAUUAAAGCUCACUUCGGUGAGUGUAUAGAGUGGCGAACGGGUGAGUAACACGUGGGAAACCUGCCCCUUUCUUCGGGAUAACUUCGGGAAACCGUUGCUAAUACCGGAUACUCCGGGAUGGUCGCAUGGCCGGCCCGGGAAAGCUUUAUGUGGAAAGGGAUGGUCCCGCGGCCCAUUAGCUUGUUGGUGGGGUAAUGGCCUACCAAGGCAAUGAUGGGUAGCCG